rnacentral:lncRNA from 1 species
AGGUCAAGAAGCUCUCUUCCUCUUCCGCCAUGGUUUCUAGCAGAGUGAGAGACGAGAAAGCAAAGCAAUCAGAGGAGUCUCUGAGGACUGUCAUGUACCUGAGCUGCUGGGGACCCAACUGAGGAAGCAGAUCUGGAUAUGAAGAUGAUGAUCAUCCUACCACUGAAUCUUCCAUGGAGGGCAUAUCCCAAGAAAGUGAUAAGAACAAUCUUAGGCCCCUCUCUCAAGCUAGGAGCCUCUCUUCUUCUUCUUCCUAUAAGAUGGGUGUGAAGAGUAGUGGGGAAGAUGAGAAAAGGAAGAAGAAGACACAGAAAACAUUGGGGAAAGUCAUGCACUAGAGCUCCUGGGUCCCCAGUGGAGCAAUGGAUACAGAUUUUGCGGUGCAAUAUAAGAGUAAAAAUUUUGUAGACAACUGCAGAAAGAUGUGAUGAUCUUCAUGCGUACUUCAAAAAAAUGAAAUCAGAUAUCAGAUUUAUUAUCAUAAUAUUGUGUUGCCUUUUAUCAUUUUUUGCCAUGGGAUCACUAUCUUUGUUGGUUUUGAUUGAAUUUGAGCUUUAGCAGAUGGAGCAAUCAAGAGUUUGAAGCAAAAAGCACUUAAGAUCCACCUUCAGUGCAAUAUAUUUUGUUUUGAAUUGAUUGUGCAGGCAUUGUUCACCCCACAAUCCCUUCCUCCUCUCAGUCAAACUCAUAACUAUGGCUUGGCUCUAAUUUCAAUUCUCAAACAUCUUAACUGAAAAUCAUACUGAUGACUAAUAACAAUAAGUUCAACCUUUUAUGGCCUUUUUUUUUUUUCGGAGUGAUUGUUUGCGUGAUUCAUUUCAGACUUAAAAGAAUGAUGUUAUUGUGCCUAUACACAAAUUUUAUACUCAUGGUUUUAAUAGAAUCCCGUUCACUAUGUGAAAUUAAUAGUUUAAUAUAAUAUUAGAGUUUUAAUAUAUAGUAUUAUUUUAUAUUUUGAAAUUAGUAUUUUAAUAUAAUAUUAAAAUUUGUUCAGAUUUUCUGUUCGUUUUCUUGUUUAUUAAUCUUAUGGUUGGGUUUGAAAAAUGGAAAAUUUGAGAAAAAAAAAUGUGAGAAAAAAUUGAAAAAUAUACUUAAAAUUAAUAAAUUAUUUUUAGAUGCUUCAUUAAAUUUAUUAUAUUUUUAUAAAUUAUAAUUACAUUGAAUAAUUUAAAAAUAUAAAUUUUUUAAAUUAAUUUUAAUGACUUUUUUUUCCUUCUUUAAAAUUUUCAUGAUAAACUAGAAAUUGUAAAAUCAUUUGUGUUUUUUUCACCCUAUGUUGGACUUUUCCGGCCAAAUAUAGCUUAACUUUAGGGUUGUAAUUUGGACAAGUUGAUCGGCCUGAUCAUUGAUGGUCAAUCCAGACUCAAUCCAACCUUAUUUUUAAAAAAUAAAGUUAGUUAGUGGAGUUAAACUCAAAUUGAUUAGAUUAAACUUUAUAUUAAAACUUGGAUUGAUUAGGUUAAAUUUUAUGUUAAAAUUUGGAUUGAUUGGUUUAAAUUUCACCUUAAAAUUUGGAUUGAUUGGGUUAAACUUGAGUUGAUCCAAUUGAUUGAUUGUGUUGUAUAAUUCAAAAUUCAUUAAUAAUAGUUUUUUUUUUAAUUUUAUACAUUUAUACCAAAAUUUAGUUAGUAAUAAGACAAAAUUUCAAACAAUAAUAAUAAUAAUAAUAAUAAUAAUAAUAAUAAUAAACUCAUUUUUUUUUUCAAAAAAUGAAAAAAAUAUACUAAAUGAUCACAAUUUAAUAUUUUUCUUUAAAAUUUUAAAAAUAAAUAAAUAUUAUUAUAUUAGAUAAUAAAUAUUAUAAAAACAUUAAAUUUGGUUUGACUCGGAUUAUAGCCUAAAUCUAAUUCAAAUUGAAUUUUGGUUGUGAAAAAACUUAACCCAACCAAAUAUUGGAUUAAGUUGGGUCAACCCGUCAAAGUUAUACCCGUGACUUGUUUGGGCAUCUCACAGAAUUUAGUCAAACAGCUGAAAAUUAAUGGACUCCAGUGGGCAGAGUAAGUAAAGCAAAUUGUUUUGGAUUGCCGCAUUGUCACUUCUGAAACCAGCGGUUUCAGUCCUUUCACCCUUUUAGCAGGAAAACAGGGGGCACACCUCCUGGCAACUGCGACCAUAAUAACACUUAGUCGGGAAUAAAAAUGUAGCUGAAAAACCAAUCAUGCCCAAAUGUAACCUACUUUAGCAUUACAAAUCUAAGGACAAAGUAGUCAUUCCAAUUCAAACCAAACAAACCCAUGAAUACUGCUGGCCACAGCCUCUGGUUUUUGCCAAACGUUGGGCACCAAAUCCAAACCCAUCUAUUGCUAUAUAACCAACCCAUCUUCACUUCAUCUUCUUCAUCACAACACAAACACUUUGAUUUACAGAGAGAUCUUCUAUAUCCUAUUCACUACUCAGAAUCAGUUCUUUUUAUUGUUGAUUGUUGUUUGAGUUUUGGAGAGAGAAUUAAGAUGAGUCAUAUGGGGAAAGCUUGGAUAGUGGCAGCAAGUGUGGGAGCAGUGGAGGCACUCAAGGACCAGGGCUUCUGCAGAUGGAAUUACACUCUGAGGUCUAUUCACCAGCAUGCCAAGAACAACCUCAGGUCCUUUUCUCAGGCCAAGAAGCUCUCUUCUUCCUCUUCCGCCAUGGUUUCUAGCAGAGUGAGAGACGAGAAGGCCAAGCAAUCAGAGGAGUCUCUGAGGACCGUCAUGUACUUGAGCUGCUGGGGACCCAACUGAGGAAGAAGAUAUGAAGAUGGAUGAUCACCAGCAUACUAGUGAAGCAUCGAUGGAGGGCAUAUUCCAAGAAAGUGAUACGAACAACUUAGUUCCCUCUUUCAAGCUAAGAGCCUCUCUUCUUCUUCUCCUCCUUAUUCUUAUAAGAUGGAGGUGAAUAGUGGCGGAGAAGGUGAGAAAAGGAAGAAGACACAGAAAGUAAUGGGGAAAGUCGUGGGCUUGAGCUCCUGCGGUCCCAGUGAAGCAAUGGAUAGAGAUUUUGAGGUGUAACAUAAGAGUAAACAUUUUGUAGAGAUCUGCAGAUAGAUAAGAUGAUUUUAAUGUGUACUUAAAAAAAUGAAAUAAGAUUUCAGAUUUAUCAUCAUAAUAUUUGUGCCAUGGGACUAUCUUGGUUAGUUUUUUAGAGGGUUAAAAACUAAUUCUACUUUGGAAGAAAGGAAUCACCUUCAAAUUAAGCCAUCUUUCGAGCAGUUUGGAAAAACCCUUAUCUAAUAAAGACCUCUAUAAAGUACAAAAAGGUUGUGCUUUUACCAUAAAAAAGGUUGUUUCAAGCCCGAGAACAUCAGAAAUCAUCAUGCCAAGGUUGAUAGAGUUGCUAACAUACAGAUAAGAAAUUUUACCCAAAAAAAUAAAAUAAAAAAAUUAAAGCUUUGUCUUGAAAAGUCUCUCAAAUUCAGAUUCAUUUUUGGAAGAAGAAUAAGAGAUAUCUAAGUGAAGUGAGGGGUUCGUGGACAGGAAAUUUAAGAUAUUUUAAUAAUCCAAUAGUUUUAUUUGAUUUUUAUCAUAGUAUAAUAAAAUAAUUCUCUUUUAUUUGUGGAUGUAAGUUAAUCAAAACAUGUUAAGAUCUCGUGUAUUUUUGUGUGAAUUAUUUUAUUUUUACAUUCUAAAAUUAAUAUUUUUGUAUUAAAGCUUACAUUGAUACCAAAGCUAUGUUGAAGAUUUGUAAAAGAACAAAAAAAAAAAAAAAAAUAGUACACAAAAAAAAUGAUAAAAUGAAUUUUAAUUGAAAGUGAAGUUGAUUGUUUCCAAAACAUGAUACAAAAAAUAUGUUAUGAAAAGAUGAAAAAUUAACUUAAUGGAAUUUGAUGUCGAGAUUGUUCAAGAGUGCCUUAAAUUCUUAUUAAUAUUGAUUGAUUUUUAUAAGGAAUAUUGUAUAUAAUAUAUUUUAAGUUAAUAUAUUAUUAUAAUAUUAGAUUUCUUUAUUCAGUAAAGAAAGUUAUUAAAAAUAUUUUUAUAAAUAUUUUAAAUCUUAUAAGAUGAAGAUUAACUUGUAAAAAUUAUAUGAGAUGGAUAAAGAUGUAUAAAAAAAAUGAAAGAUAUCUUGAAUGAUGUAGUGAAAUGAUUCUCUCAUUCGCAUAUAUAGGCAUGAUUCAUCGAAUCAUAUUAAAACCUCAUGUAUUUUCCGGUGGAUUGUUUUAUUUUUAUGUUUUUAAACCAAUAUGUUUGUGUUAAGAUUUUCCCUUACCCAACACCUUCAACCCUCUCUUUUAUUUAUUUUUUUCAUUAUAUUUAUAAAGAGGUUUAUCCAAAGAUCUCAAUCCCUUGUCCUCAUCUUACCGUCUUUGAUCUAUCCGAGGAAUUUUAGUUUCUUUGGUAAUGAUUAAUUUUGAAUCUUACAAAACAAAACAAUCAAAAGUUUGAAACAAAGCAAGAUGCAUCAUUUAGACAAUUGGUUCAAAGGCUUCAUGAUAGACGUUACAUCCCAACAGUCAUUUAUGCUCUUAUAAGUCAAAUUCAUAAUCCAAUGUAUUAUUAGUUCAUUAUGUGAAAUUAAUAACUCAGCUAACAUUAGAGGUUUCAUAAAACACUAGAAUUUGUUCACAUUUUUGUUAGGUGAGCUCACAGAAUUCAAGUCCAAUUGGCAACUACUCCAAAAGUGAAUGUUAUUGAACUCCAAUAAGCAACUUGUUUUAGACUGCCGCAUUGUGGCUUUGGAAACCAGCGGUUUCACUCCUUUCACUCCUUUAGCAGGAAAACAGGGGACACAUCUUUGGCAGCUGCCACCAUGAUAAUUCUUAGUAGGGACCACACAAGUGGGUGAAAACCCAAUCAUACCCACAUCUAACUCCCCUUAGCAUUACAAAUCCAAGGACAAAGUAGUCAUUCCAAUUCAAACCAAACAAACCCAUGAAUACUGCUGGCCACAGCCUCUGGUUUUUUCCUAAAGUUUGGGCACCAAAUCCAAACCCAUCUCUUUUCUAUAAAACCAACCCACCUUCACUUCUUCUUCUUCAUCACAACACAAACACUUUGAUCUACAGAGAGAUCUUCAAAAUCCCAUUCACUACUCAAAUCGGUUCUUUUUAUUGUUGAUUGUUGUUUGAGUUUGGAGAAAGAAAAUUAAGAAGAUGAGUCAUAUGAGGAAAGCUUGGAUAGUGGCAGCAAGUGUGGGAGCAGUGGAGGCACUCAAGGACCAGGGCUUCUGCAGAUGGAAUUACACUAUGAGGUCUAUUCACCAGCAUGCCAAGAACAACCUCAGGUCCUUUUCUCAGGCCAAGAAGCUCUCUUCUUCCUCUUCUGCCAUGGUUUCUAGCAGAGUGAGAGAUGAGAAGGCAAAGCAGUCAGAGGAGUCUCUGAGGACUGUCAUGUACUUGAGCUGCUGGGGACCCAACUGAGGAAGAAGAUAUGAAGAUGGAUGAUCACCAGCCUACAGCGAAGCAUCCAUGGAGGGCAUAUUCCAAGAAAGUGAUAACUCAUAAGUGGAGUGGAGAUCAGUUUCAUGGAAUUUUUCCUAGAAGACAAACAAGGUGGAAAUCCAGAAAUUAAUUAGAACCAACUGCUAAUAGUUGGCGUCUCUGAGUUAGGAAUUUGUUAGCAAAAGGCAGCUUUGGUAUAUAUACUAAUAUACGAGAUGAUUUCAAUGUAUAUUUGAAAUAGAAAUUAGAUUUAUUAUCAAAACGAUUGCGUUGUCUCGUCUUUUAUAUUUUCCAGAUCCAAACAGAUCCUAAAGGCCCUAAAAUUUUUGUUGUAUCAUUUUUAUGCUAAAAAAUUACACAUAGAAAAAUUAACUAAAUCAUAAGUAGCUUCUAACCAUGAAUUGUUUUUUUUUUUUUAAGCCUAUAAAUUUUAUGCUUUAGAUACAUGCAUUAAAAAUCUAUCUAAACCAUAUAUAAUUAUUUUAAUGCAGUUAUAUAACUGAUAAAAAUAGAAAUAAAUUUAAUAAAUAUAAAAUAAUAAAAUAUUAGGAUAAGUAUUGAAGAUCAAUUUUCAGUCUUCAAACUUAAUCGAACUUGAAAGUGGAUGGCGAUGGAUACAAUGAUUUGAGCCAGGUCUUAAAUCUUUAACUUAAUGGAGCAAUUAUUGUAAUCUACUUAAUAAUUGGUCAGUAUAAAAUUAAAUAAUAAUAAAAGGAGAAAGAAAAGGACACGUGUUUGACGUGGACGUUGCCAAAACAGCGGUUUCAGACAGGCCUUUUACUGCCCGAGCGCCAGUGGAUUAACAAAGAAAACAAUGAGCACAUCAGUGGAAGCGGCACCAGCUACCAAGUAUGCAGCUGAAAUGCCCCUUGGAAUUACAAAUCGAAGGACAAAAGAGUCAUUCCAGACCAACCCAGAAAUACAGCUGACCCCUGCCUCUGGUUUUUCCCCAAACCUUGUGCCUUUCUCUAUCUAUAUAAUCCAGCCCACCUUCUCUCCAUCUUCUUCAUCGCAACACAAACGCUUUGAUUUACUGAGAGAUCUUCCAUAUCAAUUCACUACUGAGAUUGUUGUUUGGGCUUUGAGUUCUUGGGAAAGAAAGUUAAGAAGAUGAGUCAUAUGAGGAAAGCUUGGGUGGUGGCAGCAAGCGUGGGAGCAGUGGAGGCACUCAAGGAUCAGGGCUUCUGCAGAUGGAACUACACUCUGAGGUCUAUUCACCAGCAUGCCAAGAACAACCUCAGGUCCUUUUCUCAGGCCAGGAAGCUCUCUUCUUCCUCUUCUGCAAUGGUUUCUAGCAGAAUGAGAGACGAGAAGGCAAAGCAGUCAGAGGAGUCUCUGAGGACUGUCAUGUACCUGAGCUGCUGGGGACCCAACUGAGACGUUCCACAUUUCGAGUGAUCAAGAAGAAGAUGAUGAUGACGAAAGAUUCAUGGAGGGAGCAUGUGAAGGAAGUCAUGAGAAGGGGAGAUGAAAACCAUUAAUGGAGAAGAGAGAUCCAUCUGUGGAUGAAGGCAGUGGAAAUUUGGAGCCGAGUGAGUCAUGGGUAAUGGUUCUUAUGAGUUGGGAAAUUAUCAGCAAAGUGCUUUCUCAACCUCAGAUGCUUUGGGAGGAAUGGGAAUUUACCAGAAAAUUGCAAGUACAUAUGUAUGAUGCUUUUUAUGCAUAAUUUGUCCGAAAGCAAUAAUAAUCAGAUUAAUUUUCAGCUAUACUUCUUCUGAGAUAUGGAAUUUGUUGGUUCUGAUUUAAUUUCAAUGAAAUUGAUUAUUUUGUAAUUCUAAAGAAAAUUGGAUUAUUCUGUAAAUUCUAUUAUUUUAUUGUUGUAUAAAGGUAAAUUCUUCUAUCAUUUGUUUUGAUAUAUUCAAAAUUAGACACAGAAAUUAAAAAAAAAAAAAAAAAAUCCACUAUUCCAAGCCAACCCGCAGCCCAAGCUGACGGGUGCAUCCAACCAGGUAGCCAUGUUCAGGGAAAACAGCGGUUUCACCCACAUUUUUACUCCUUGCGCAAUGGAAAAAAAAAAAGAAAAGCGAUUAAAGCCCAAAAUGCCCAUGUAUCUCUUCAUUUGCCAUUAGAAGUAUAUGCACAAAACAGUCAUUCCAUCCACCCCUCACCAACCCAAAAAUCCUGGUAACCACAGCCUCUGGUUUUCCCCCACACCUAUGUCUUUUAAACAAUGGGCACACUACUGCCGACUGCCCCUACGCUUACUGCUUACAUUAGUUGAGGAUGAGUGAUGGGGCCAAGGCCAACUAUGUAGGUGAAUUCCCAAUUAUACCCACCUGAAUCCGCCCUCAAUCUGACCAAUCCGAGGACAAACGUAAUAAUCAUUCCAAUUCAGAUCAAGCAAACCCAUGAAAACUGCUGGCCACAGCCUCUGGUUUUUUCCCAAACUUUGGGCACCCGAUCCAAACCUAUCUCUUUCUAUAAAACCAACCCACCUUCACCUCAUCUUCUUCAUCACAACACAAAACACUGGAUUUACAGAGAGAUCUUCAAUAUCCAUUCACUACCCAGAAUCAGGUCUUUUUAUUGUUGAUUGUUGAUUGAGUUUUGGAGAAAGAAAAUUAAGGAGAUGAGUCAUAUGGGGAAAGCCUGGAUAGUGGCAACAAGCAUGGGAGCAGUUGAGGCAUUGAAGGAUCAGGGCUUCUGCAGAUGGAAUUACACUAUGAGGUCACUUCACCAGCAUGCCAAGAACAACCUCAGGUCCUUUUCUCAAGCCAAGAAGCUCUCUUCUUCCUCUUCUGCCAUGGCUUCUAGCAGAGUGAGAGAAGACAAGGCAAAGAAAUCAGAGGAGUCCUUGAGGGCUGUCAUGUACUUGAGCUGUUGGGGACCCAACUGAGACCCACCAAAAAUUAGUAGAGAGUUGUAAACAUGUAUGAUGAUUUUUUUAUGUAUUUUUUUGAAAAAAAAUCAGAUUAGGUAUCAGAAAUUCAGAAUGAUUGUUUUUUGCACUUUGUUUUUACAUGCCAUGGGAUUUGGAGUUGGUUAGUUUUGACUGAGCAUGAAAGGCAGGCCAGGGUUUUAAAGAAUUGAAUCAUUCACUGGAGAUGGAAUCUCUCUCAGAGAAAUCCUUAUUCUCUACAACCUUGGCAAAUGGCAAGCCACUAAGAGGGAAAACACAAAAAAUAAAAAUAAAAUAAAAUAAUAAUAAUUGUAGAGGAGAUAUUUGCCAAUAUAUAAAACUUAUAUUUUUGUAUUAUUAUUGAAUAAAUUAGAUUUUAUCAUACACUUAAAUAAUGGAGAUACAAAUUCAAUAUAAUACUUUUUUUUUGGUUAAUUUUAAAAGGUUUCUAAGGAAAUUAAGUCUUAAUCAAACAACUUUUAUUGAUCUUUUACAAUAUGAAUUUAUCUCUUUAAAAUAAUUUUAAUUUAGCAUUUAAAAUUUUCCGUUGAACUUUUUCACCAAAUGAGAAGUAAAAACGUAACAGAGGAAUGCAGGACUUUAAAGUGAAGUUGUCUUUUUUUGAACAAGCUAACUUUAAGUCUCGUUUUUUAAGAGAACUUUUCAUAGAAUUUGAAUUAUUUAUUUAACGAUAAAUUUUCAUGAUUUUUUUUUUAAAUUUACACCAUUUUGAAAGGGAAACUUGUAUUUUGAUGGAGCAAUUUGGAAAAUAUAUGAUUUUUGGAAUCCAACUUCACGAAAUCUGAAAACUAACUUUUAAUGUGAAAAAUUAUAUAUUUUUCAUGCACUCUAAGUCGGUUGCAUAUUUUUGUGCUAAGAUUAUUUUUAGGUUUAGUGAUUUUCCAAAAUUAUCCUUUUUGUUUUUUUUUUUUUUCUCUUGUACCCAUCAUCUGCCUCUCCCUCCCUCCCCAGUGAAAUUGGUUGGUAUUUUGCCGACGUCAUCACCAACCGCCACCCACACUUCUCUCCCGUUGGCAAUCUCCUCCUUUCUCCAUUUCCUUCCCUCUUUCUCUCUCUCUUUCAUUCCCUUUCGACAUCACCAAGAGAGAAGAAGGCGGUGGCAAUGGUGGAGAACCGGGGUUGGAGGGAAGAAGGUGCGACUGGUUGCCAUUGACGGUGGCAACCAGUAACUCUCGCAGUCAUUGACAACGGUGGUGGUGGAAGCACCUAAGUGGGGAGAGACGUCAAGGAGAGGUGGGAGGGAGGCGGACGAGGGGACCACGUCUUUCCCUACGCUGGUGCUUUCGCCGUCGCCACUGUCAAUAAUCGUGAGAGUUGUUGGUUGCUGUUUGUCGCGCCUUCUUCCCUCUAGCCCUGGUUCUCCACCAUUGCCACUGCCCUCUUCUCUCUUGAUGAUGUCGAAAGGAAAUGAAAGAGAUAAAGAAAGAGGGAAGGGAAUCGGAGAGGGGGAAAUUAAUGAUCGGAGAAAUGUGUGAGUGACGGCCGAUUUCACAAGGGAGGGAGGAAGAGGCGGAUGGUGGUGGGUAUAGGAGGAAAAUAAACAAAAAGGAUCACUUUGGAAAAUCACUAAAUCCAAAGGUAAUCUCGACACAAAAUAUGUAGCCGGUUCAGAGUGCAUGAAAAAUAUAUAAUUUUCCAUAUUGAAAAUUGAAUUUUAGAUUUCAUAAAGUUGGAUUCUAAAAACCAUAUAUUUCUUAAAUUUCCUCAUCAAAACAUAAGUCUGCAUUUUGAAAAGGAAAAACCCAAUGAAAUAUGUUCGUACUUCGUAUAGACCGUGGAGUGGGGUGUGAAAAAAACAAAGAAAUAGACACGUGCUUGAAAUCCGGCCGUGCACAUUACCCCAUUGGAAAACAGCGGUUUCAUCCUCCUUACUCUUUGAGCGUUGAGUGGAUUCACAAACAAAACAAUGGGCACGUACUGCGGACUGCCCCACACCAACACUGAGGGCCAACUAUGUAGGUGAAUACCCAAUUAUACCUACAUGAAUCAGCCGUCAAUCUUACAAAUCCAAGGGCAAAGUAGUCAUUCCAAUUCAAACCAAACCAAGCCAUGAUUCAUGAAAACUGCUGGCCACAGCUCCCGGUUUUUCCCUAACUUUGGGCACCAAAUCCAACCCAUCUCUUGCUAUAUAACCAACCCACCUUCACUUCAUCUUCUUCAUCACAACACAACUACCUUGAUUUACAGAGAGAUCUUCUAUAUCCAUUCACUACUCAGAAUCACCUCUUUCUAUUGUUGAUUGUUGUUUGGGUUUCGGAGAAAGAAAAUUAAGAUGAGUCAUAUGGGGAAAGCUUGGUUAGUGGCAGCAAGUGUGGGAGCAGUGGAGGCACUCAAGGAUCAGGGCUUCUGCAGAUGGAACUACACUCUGAGGUCUAUUCACCAGCAUGCCAAGACCAACCUCAGGUCCUUUGCUCAGGCCAAGAAGCUCUCUUCUUCCUCUUCUGCCAUGGUUUCCAGCAGAGUGAGGGAGGAGAAGGCCAAGCAGUCAGAGGAGUCUCUGAGGACUGUCAUGUACUUGAGCUGCUGGGGACCCAACUGAAGAAGAAGAUAUGAAGAUGGAUGAUCAUCAGCCUGCACUUGAAGCAUCCAGAGAGGGCAUAUUCCAAGAAAGUUAUGGAAAAUUAAGAUGAAGAAACUGCAGUGAAGCAAUUUCAUGGAAUUUUUGCUUGGAGACUCCCGAAUUACAACCAAUUGCUCAGGGUUGGGAAAAUUGGAAUUGCUGUAAAUUGUGACUGGUUCUUUGUAAAACCCAAAUCAUUUAGCUAGAAAUUGAAAAUACAUUUUAAUUUAAUUUAUAGUUUCUCUGUUAGAAUAUUAGACCCAAUUCCUAAAAAGCUUGUCAGUCUUGUAUUAGACCCAAGCUCAAGCGCAUUAAGAAAAAAUAUGGCAGAUUUGGUCACAUAGGGGAUGAAGAGGUGAUAAAGUAGAUACAACGCCCAAAAUUAAACUCUCAAUCAAUUUAAUUGAACAAAUAAUCAUAAAAGAGAUUUUUUAAAUUUAUGAUUUUUGAAAAAGAAAAUUCCAGUGAAAUAUGUUCAUGUAGACUGUGUGGUAGGAUGAAGACUAAACAAAGAAAUGGACACGUGGUUGAAGUCCGGCCCUACACAUUGCCCCAUUGGAAAACAGUGGUUUCAUCCUCCGUACUCUUUGGGCGUUAAGUGGGUUCACAAACCAAACAAUGGGCUGCCUUAACGUGGUGUUUAUUUUUUUACUUAAUUCUAAAUAGAAUCUUAAUAUUUAAUCGUAUUAAAUAUUAGAUUAUUUAUUUUUUAGUAUUUUAUUUUUAUUAAGUAUUAAAAAGUAAAAAAAAUCAUUGUGUUAUUUUUUCUAUUUAGAAAAAAUUAUAUAUUUUGAUUUUUUCUAUUUAGUAAAAAGUUUAUAAUAAGUCAUUAAAAAGUAAAAAAACAAACCAUCUAAAUUCUAAAACUAAAUGAUUUUUAGCAAAAAGCCAAAAAAACAAACACCACUUUAGACUGAGGACAAACUAUGUAGGUGAAUAUCCCAUUAUACCUACAUGAAUCAGUGGUCAAUCUUACAAAUCUAAGGACAGAGUAGUAAUUCCAAUUCAAACCAAACAAAGCUAUGAGAACUGCUGGCCACAGCCUCUGGUUUCCCCAAAACUUUGGGCAGUAUUCCUCAAAGAAUCAAGUGGGCUAGAUUUAACAACUUCGUCCACCAUGGUUAGAUUAUUGGGGGCUAGAGUAAAUAACUUCAUCCACCAUGGUUAGAUUAUUGGUAUCUCGAUGGGAGAAGUUGUUUUGAUGGAAAAACAUUGUAUUUUAUUAUUUUGUAAAUUUUAUCAUCACUCAUAUAUAUUAUUUUUUAUUUAAAAUUAAAUAAAAAAUUAAAAUUCUUAGAAAAUACGAAAAGAAAGUAUAUCACAAUCUUUAUUUUCUAUUCUAAAAUUAAAAAAUAAAAAUAAAAUUAUGAAGAAAAAAGUACAUUCCAACUUACAUUAAUUAAGGGAUGAUAUACUCUGCAAAUAAAAAAUAUAAAAAAUAAUUAAAGGUUAAAUAAAUCACUUAAUAAAUCGGUAGUAGGGGUUGAUGGUUUCAUUAUUAGACUAUAACAAGGAUUUUCAUUUUCAUUUUCUUUUUAAAUGCAUUUCAUGGUGGUGUAGAAUUUUUUUGUAUAAGGGUUUUUAAAUUGUAAUAUAGAUUAUAUAUAUAGUUGUGUUUUGUCCUAAAUUCUGACUUCCAAGUUUUCAACAUUAUAUAAAAAUCCCUAAAAUCACCUACUUCGUACGUUUUCUAACAUUAUAUAAAAAGCCCUGAAUUCACCUAUUAGAAAAAUGUUAUUUGGUGCGCUAUCAUUACCAUGACCUCAACCUCGUGCAAAGAUAUCGAGUGGUUACUAAUAGUAAAAAAUAAAUAAUAAAAACAAAAUAUAUUCAUUAUUAUUAUUAUUAUUAUUUUGUACUUUUACCAUCCAUUAUUCACAUCUUAGCAUAUGAUAGAAAAGAUGAUAAAAGAUUAUUUAUGUUGUAUGAUUUUAAGUGAAAUGAUCAAAAUAUUUAAAGAAAAAAUUAAUAAUUCAUGAAGAAUUUUUGGUAAAUUUAUAAAUUUGUAAUAAAUAUUGAUAAAUGAUAAACAAAGUAGUUUUUAAAGUGGUUGCAGUAGUUAAACAUUGUAUCUUAUUAUGAUUUUCCACCUUCAAAACUUAAUAAUAAAAUUUCAUAACAAAUUUUUAUCUAUUUGAAACUUUUGAAAUGUGGAAUCUUUUCUUGGACAUUUUUAUAUAUACAUUUGUGAAUUUUAUCUUUAUUUUUUAUUUAUAAAAUUAAAGGAUAAAAUUAAAAUGUUAAAAAUAAAAGAGAAGUAUAUCCCAACUUGCAUCAAUUAAGAGAAGAUAUAUAAAGCACAUGAAGAAUGCAAAAAAAAUUAAUGAUAAAAUAAAUCACUUAUUAGAUAGUAUUUAAUGAUUUACAUUAUUAGAUUGUAGAAAUGAGUUAUAUUUUUAUUUUUGUGUAUAGGGGAUUUUAAAUUAUAAUAUAUAUUUUUAUUUUUGAGUUAGUUUUCUUUGUUGAUACAUAGUUUUUUUUUUGUCUUGGAUAUUGUGUUAUCAGCAGUUUUAAAAGAAAUAAAAAUUAUUUAUCCCACAUCGAUUCAAAACUAAAAAUAUUAUAUAUAUUUAUUAAAACUUUGAUACCCUUAAAAAAUACAAGUACAACCAAUAAGCAAGCAUAGGGAUGACAACGGGGCGGGUAUGGGACAUGCCACCCCUACCCCAUUUCCAUCCCGGUUAUAUAUUUUUUUGCCCAUCCCUGUCCCAAACUCGGGGCGGGGCGAGUUGGUGUCCCCCUUACCUGUUUACAAAAGAGCUGAUAAUCUCAUCCCCAUCCCAAAUGUAUUUUCGGGAAUUAUGCUUUUACAAAACAUGGGUCUCUGAAAUUUCAAUAAACGUUAUAUGGGUUAUCAUAAACACAUUUAAUCAAGCAUUUGUUGUGCAACAAAACUACAAACUGCACAUAUGAGAACAAAAUGCACAGAUCUACAAAUAAACAACCCAAAAAAUCUCAAAUCCAUAAACCAAAACCAGAAAAAUAUGAAAAACAAGACAUUCUAACAAAGCCUCAAAACUUAGGGUUUUCUUACCUGGAAAUGAGGAAUCCAUAGAAACCCUAAUAAUUUGUUGUCUACGAAUUUGGUUUUUGGUUUUUAGAGCAAAAAUUGUGCUUUUAGGGUGAAAUGGGAAGAAGCAAUUUAGGAAUAAAUGAGAAAACGGGAAGAAAUGAGAAAACGAAAGGCCUUUUACGAGCAAAAGAACCCUGAGCAAUUUAGGAAGAAAUGAGAAAACGGGAAGAAAUGAGAGCGAAAGCCCUCUAACUCUCUCAUGAGCAAAAUAACCCUAAAACUUGAGGAAGAAAUGAUUAUAUGUGUAGGACUUUUUGGGUAUUUUGUAAUGACAUAAGGGUAAAUUGGUAAUUCACAUACGGGGCGGGGCAGAAACUGCAAAACCCAUCCCUGCCUUAAACCCAAUUCGGGUUUUUAUAUAUUCCCCAAACCCUUUUUAUACCCGAAUAGGAUAUUCUCAUACCCGUCCCAAUAGGGACGGGGCGGGUGACCCGAAUUACCCGGAAAAUUGUCAUUCCUAAGCAAGCAUUGAGCUAAAUCCUAAUCUCACAUUCCUACUUGAAACUUUACACUCACAUAAAAACAACUCACCACUUGACUCGAGGGACUAUUCCGUAACUUCUCACUACCAACAACCAGGCACUAUUCAACCUCUCGCUCACUUAUAAAUUCACUCCCUACCUGCAUAUUCAAAACGUAUCUCACUACUAUUCUACUCUACUAUUCUACUUUUCGUGGUUUCAUAUCUCACUAUUAUUCCACUUUUCGCGGUUUCAUAUCUCACUACUAUUCGCGUGUUCAAAGUGUAUCCCUCCCUGAAUUAAUUGUGAAUUAAUUUAGGCUUCAAAGUGUGUUGCUCUACAAUAUCCCUCCCAGUCAGGCCUCAAAGUAAGAACAACAACAUCUACAAUAUCUGCCAUGGCCACACAACCAAGGCAUGCGGUAUGCCGCAUUUUCUCAUGUCCUUUUCCCAUUUUGUUCCCUCUUUUCAUCUCCAUUUUGUUUUCAAUAUCCCCUUACCUUACUCAUAUUCUCUAAAAUUAGAUAAAAUUAUUAAUUUGAUCAUAUUUAUCUAACAUUUUUAAUUAAUACUACUAGUAUCUUAUUUUCAUAAAUCUAAUUGAAUUUCCUACUUAUUUAUUUAUUGUUUUCAUGACAAAACUUCAUCAACUUUCAUAUCUUUCCUUACAAUUCUGAGUUCAACUGUCCUUGCGAAAUACCAAUAUGAGAAUGUUUCCCCAUUUGCCCAACACAACAUAGGUAUGCAAAUCUCCUUAUUUGCAUCAUUUAUAUAUUUCAUGAUGGUUGUGGUUUAUGAAAUCCUUGAUUCUAAUGGAACUAUCAAAAUUGAAGAAGAUGGAAGAUAUCUCCUUAUUUUGAGUCAUGUUCGGUUCUUAAGUGGAACAGCAGCUGCAACUUUGUUGAUCCUGAUCUUGAUCCCAUAUUUUGGAUGGUUCUUUCUGAUCAUGUGGACCAUGUUCUUAGUGAAAAUAACAUGCUAUUGGGAUAAAACAUUUUAUAACUUUGACAUGUUCAAGAAUAAAAAAAAAUGCCAAUGAUAGGGAAGGAGGACAAGAGGAGCAACGACUCCAAGUUUAGAGUAGGUUUGGUCCAUCAGAGGUUAUUAGCAAAAAACAUAUUUUCUUCUUGUACUUUCGAAAGUGUUAAAUAAGUGUUAUAUUUUGAGUAAUGAGAGUAUUUUUUUCCUUUUUUCUUUUUUUCUAAUACAUUAUUGGUGAUUAUUCUUCGUCGGAAUACCCACAAGGCUAUUAGAUGUUUCAUUGCAAAAUAUGGUUUUAUAUGAUAGCAUUACGAUUGAACUAAUAAAACAUAUUUUUUGCAUAUUGUUUAGUUGGACCCCCCGACUACCUCUCGGUAAUAUCCUCUUAACAUAGGAAGUAUAAACUAAUAGCAAGUGCUAAUCUUUCCCAUUCUUACACAAGAAAGACCCAAGGAGAAGGUAUAUUUAGAAAUUGCAUAUCUAUGUUCCCAAACAAUAGAAAAUUCAAUAUAUGGCACUUCACUCUCUACUUUUCUUUCCCACAUUUUCUCAUAACCCAAAUAUGCUCACCUCUCAUUCUAAGAUCCAACCAUUGAAAAACAAUUACAAAAAUCCUAAUAAAAGAGAUAGAUCAUACUACAAUUACACUUUCUUACAAGAAAUUGAAGUGUAGAAGGUAUAACAAUUGAGUGAAACAAAUAAAAACCAACCUCCUUUAACACACAUGCUAAUGAAAUACUUGCAGAGACACUUUAAAUUUCUCCAGACUCCAAGAGAUAUUGAACAACAGCCUCGACACCUGCAGCGACGAGACCAUCACCUGAUACGAUAUAAUGCACAAACUCGGCACGGAAUCAAUAAGACUUGGUUGGAUUACAAAUUUUUUUUCAAACAUUCUCUUUUUCUUUCCAAUCACAAUAAAACAUCAGAAUAUUUUCAAAAAUAAAAAUCAGAAAUUCACCUUUCAAAAGCAAACACCCAUGAUUCUGAAAUUGGAGCUUUUAACCUAAAAGAUCAAAGAAGAUGAAGAAGAAAAAACCCAACCCCUGACUCGUUCGGAAAUAAGAGGAGAAACCACCGAAGGAUGAGGGCAUGAUUUAGGAUUUACUUACUUGAUUUUCCUAAAAAUCGAGAAUCAUCGGAGGGUGGAGGUUUGGUGUCAACGGUGGUAACUCGUCAAGUGGAUUGAAUCUUACAACAGCGACGUCGGCCAGGCAACCCUCUCACAGUCAGAUUGCUCUCCCUUCGGGGUCUUGCAUAGUUGCAAAUUUGCAAUUGUAGGUGGUGUCAUCUGUCGACGGUCUUGACAACAAUGGUGUUGUGCGAGUAUGGAAGAUUGGGAGCCUAAAUUGGUAAAGUAAAAAAUGCAUUUUAUAUGGAUUUACAUUGAUGAUAUGAGAUAGGAUUUGAUGGUAACAUAUUAAAUUAAAUUAAAUGAUUGAGUCCAAAAUGAUAUGGAUGGUAUGAGAUAGGAUUUAAUGAAAAAUUAAAUGUAUUUAUAUGGCAGAUUGAGAAUUAAAUCCACAAUUCUUAGUAGUAUUAUAAAUGGCUUUGAGUUAAAUGUGAAAAAGUUUUAUUAAUUUUUUAAGCUUAUUAAAUUUAUAUCUAUUUUUUAUAUAUAAUUUACAUAAUAUUUUUAUAAUUUUUUGAAAUUUCUAAUUAUCUUAUUUUGCGUGUUGCUUGAUAUUGAAUCAAGAUGUUGAGACCAACAUAUCUCGGGAACAUCUGAGUUAAUGAUCGAUAUCGCGACUUUGAACCAUGCUCGUCUCCAAUCCCUUAACAAUGAUGAAAAAUGAGGGCAACACAAUUACCCUUUUUAUUAUUAUCUGUUCAAAAUAAUACAUGCAUUAUAAUAUAAUUUUUUAAAAAUAUUUUACAAAAAAAUAUAUGUGGACCCCGUAUUUAGGCUCAUGCGUUUCCACUCGAUGGCGAGCUUGAUUUUAUUUUGAAAAUAAUUUUAUUUAUUAGAAAAUGACUUGGAGUCGCCACUUAUUUUUGUUUUAUUUUUAAAGGGUAAACAAAAUAAGAAAGAAAACCCUAAGUGUGACUCCUUAUUUUGGAAAAGGUGGUCUGUAAAAAAUUGGAUCGAGUUUGGGGGUCAGGUUACUUAUCGGGAAGGUACGGUAAAGACCGUAGCACCCCUUUAAGUCCCCAAAGUCGGGUCUCUACUAAUAAAAUGAAGUUGACGCAACAAUCAAUAAUAAAAACAAUGAAUACCGACAUGAUCACAUAUUGAAAGCCAAAACAUAUAAGGAUGAUGGUUAGAGUGAGAAAAAAUGCGUACCUGAUCAGCAAGCGGCAACGCGCUAUCAUAAAAUGAGGUUAGUGCACAAAUAAUGGACAUAAAACAUAGCUCACAAGCCACUGAAUCGAGUACAAAAUCAUCAGAUAUCACAAUUAAGUCAAAUUUAUUUUUCGGGGAAACAAUCACUGAUGUUGGGCCUUCACCAAAACCCAAUUUAUUCCUGUAUGAAUUAAUUUCGUAAAUUCCAUCACUUGGAAUUACAGAAUUUAAUUCACACUUAUUUUUAAAAUGUUUUAGAAAUCAUGGAAGUUAUGGAAAUCCAUGCCGAAGAAAAUGGCAACAAAAUUUUAUUAAAAAUGUGAUUUUUGGGACUUGAAAGCUCUAAGGAUGAAGAAUCUGGAAAAUAAUGCGAAAAAAAUGAGAUUUGGAAAAAAAUAUUUUUUUAAACCAAGAAUGGUGAAAAUGAGAAAAAAAAAAAAAAAGGAAGUGACACGUGGCAUAAGGGUGGCCAUGCAAAGGUGGCCAUGCACCAUUCCAAACAAAUCUAACCCCACUUGCUUUUAUUUGAUCCUGAUCUUAAUCCCAUAUUUUGGAUGGUUCCUUCUGGUCAUGUGGACCAUGUUCUUAGUUAAAAUAACAUGCUAUUGGGAUAAAACAUUUUAUAACUUUGACAUGUUCAAGAAUAAAAAAAAUGUCAAUGAUAAGGAAGGAGGACAAGAGGUGCAGCGACCCCAAGUUUAGAAUAGGUUUGGUCCAUAAGAAGUUAUUAACAAAAAAACAUAUUUUCUUCUUGUACUUUUGAAAGUGUUAUAUUUUGAGUAAUGAGAGUAUUUUUUUUUUCCUUUUUUCUUUUUCUUUAAUACAUUAUUGGUGAUUAUUCUUCGCUGGAAUACCCACAUGGCUAUUAGAUGUUUCAUUGCAAAUAUGGUUUUAUAUGAUAGAAUUAUGAUUGAACUUAUAAAACAUAUUUUCUGCAUAUUGUUUAGCUGGGCCUCCCAACUACCUCUCGGUAAUAUCCUCUUAACAUAGGAAGUAUAAACUAAUAGCAAGUGCUAAUAUUUCCCAUUCUUACACAAGAAAGACCCAAGGAAAAGGUAUAUUUAGAAAUUUCAUUUCUAUGUUCCCAAACAAUAGAAAAUUCAAUAUAUGGCACUUCACUCUCUACUUUUCUUUCCCACAUUUUCUCAUAACCCAAAUAUGCUCACCUCUCAUUCCAAGAUCCAACCAAAAUUGAAAAACAAUUACAAAAAUCCUAAUAAAAGAGACAGAUUAUACUACAAUUACACUUUCUUACAAGAAAUUGAAGUGCAUAAGGUAUAACAAUUGAGUGGAACAAAUAAAAACCAGCCUCCUUUAACACAUUUGCUAAUGAAAUACUUGCAGAGACACUUUAAAUUCCUCCAGACUCCAAAAGAUACUGAUCAACAGCCUCGGCACCUGCAGCGACGAGACCAACACCUGAUACGAUAUAAUGCACAAACUCGGCAUGAAAUCAGUAAGACUCAGUUAGAUUACAGAAAAAUUUUCAAACAUUCUUUUUUUCUUUCCAAUCAUAAUAAAACAUCAGAGUAUUUUCAAAAAUAAAAAUCAAAGAUUCCCCUUUCAAAAGCAAACACCUAUGAUUCUGAAAUUGGAGCUUUUAACCCAGAAGAUAAAAAAAGACGAAAAAGAAAAAACCCAACCCCUGACCCGUUCGGAAAUAAGAGGAGAAACCACCGAAUGAUGAGGGCAUGAUUUAGGAUUUACUUACCUGAUUUUCCUAAAAAUCGAGAAUCAUCGGAGGGUGGAGGUUUGGUGUCGGUGGUGGUAACUCGUCAAGUGGACUGAAUCUUACAACGGCGACGUCGGCCAGGCAACCCCUCAUAGUCAGAUUGCUCCCCAUCCGAGGUCUUUCAUAGUUGCAAAUUUGCAAUUGCAGGUGGUGUCAUCUAUCGAUAGUCUUGACAGCAACGGUGGUGUGCAAGGUGUGCGAGAUUGGGAGCCCAAAUUGGUAAAGUAAAAAAUGCAUUUUAUAUGGAUUUACAUUGAUGAUAUGAGAUAGGAUUUGAUGGUAACUUAUUAAAUUAAAUUAAAUGACUGAGUCCAAAAUGAUAUGGAUGGUAUGAGAUGGGAUUUAAUGAAAAAUUAAAUGUAUUUAUGUGGCAGAUUGAGAAUUAAAUCCCCAAUUCUUAGUAUUAUUAUAAAUAGCUUUGAGUUAAAUGUGAAAUUUUUUUGUUUUAUUAAGUUUUUAAGCUUAUUUAAUUUCUAUCUAUUUUUUAUAUAUAAUUUACAUAACAUUUUUAUAAUUUUAUGAAAUUUCUAAUUAUCUUAUUUUGCGUAUUGCUUGAUACUGAAUCAAGAUGUCGAGACUAACAUAUCUCGAGAUCAUCUGAGUCAAUGAUCGAUAUCGCGACUUUGAACCAUACUUGUCUCCAAUCCCUCAACAGUGAUGAAAAAUGAGGCCAACACAGUUGCCUUUUUUAUUAUUAUCAGUUAAAAAUAAUGAAUCUAUAUCCAUGUAUUAUCAAGAAUAAAUAAGUUUAUAUUUAUAAAUUUUUAUUAUAAAUUUAUAUUUACACAUAUCCUUGAUUUUCCUCAAGGUCUUAUUUUUAAUUGAUUACAAAGCAUUAGUACUUAUUUAAUUUAAAAUGUAUUAAAUAAAUAUUAAUAUUACAUAAAUAAAUAAAAGUUGAAUUUGAAUAAAAAUUAUAUAUAUAUAUAUAUAUAUCAUAUUCUACAUGAAUAUGAAUCUAUUAUUAAAGAUACAUGGUAAUAAGUGUUAAUAUUAUAUAAUCAAAUGAGAGUACAAAAAUUUUCUAUUAUUAACAAUACAUUAUUAUAAUAAUGAAAUACUUAAUAUCAUGUAAAUAAAUAAAAGUCAUCAUAAAUUUAAAUUUGAAUUUAUAUUUUUAAACCCAUCAAAUUUAUUUUUAUUUAUUUUUAAUUUUAAGAAUUUUUUCUCCACUUCAAAUAGCAAUAAUAGUGUUUAUUCAUACUAAUUAUACUUAAAAUUGAUGAAAUUUAUGAAAAAAGAAGAAGUAAAAACCCAUACCCUUCAAAUUUACAUUUGUUUUAAUUUUAAGAUUUUUUUUCUCUACUUCAAGUAAUAAUAAUAAUAAUGUUUAUUCAUACUAAUAGCAAUAAAAUUAACGAAAAUGAUGAAAAAUAAAAAAUAAAAAAUAAAUAGUAAAAACUUCAAAAUUUUAAUAAUAAUAAUAAUAUUUAUUCAUACUAAUAAACAAUUCUUCAUAAUCAUAACCUACUAAUUUCCAACAAUUAUAAUUGAAAUUGUUUUGAAUAAACAAUGUAAUUUGUAUUUGAAGUUGAAGAAAAUUGUGAAAAUUAAAUGGGAAGGGUAGGGUUUUAAUUUUUUAUUUUAUUUAAAAUUUUUCCCUCAUUAAUUAAUUAAUUAAUUAAUUAAUUUAUUUAUUUAUUUAUGAAUUUUGAGUGAAAUUAUUAUGAAUCAACAAUUUUAUUGAUAUUUAAAGUUUAAAAAAAAAAAAUCUAUGAAUUUUAAAUAAAUUUUGGAAGGUAUUUGUAAUGGGGUAUUUUUAUUUGCACUUUCCUAUUAUGUUGAAAUAUUGUUUGGUUUCAACAUUGUUUAUUCAAAAUAAUUUCAAUUAUAAUUAUUGGAAAUUAGGAGGUUAUGAUUAUGAAGAAUUGUUUAUUAGUAUGAAUAAACAUUAUUAUUAUUAUUAUUAUUAUUAUUUGAAGCAGAGAAAAAAAUUCAUAAUGCAUAGGGAGACCACAGAUUCUAUGGAUUCAACAAUUGAUAAACCUACUUGUUUAUGUUAUUGUCCCUAACCAUCUAUUCCAUUUUUGAAUUUACUUUUGGUGCAUUUAGUUUGUAACUUAUCUUAUGUUUUACUUAUUUUCAAUUUUUUUUUUUUAAGGUUAAGAUAGUAGUUUUUUUUUUUUUUAAAAAAAAAAAAAAAAACUCUUUUGAGCAAUACUUGAUUCUCUUGCUAUUCUUAUUUUUAACCAUUUUUUCAAUAAGAAAUUAUUUCUUUUUGGCGGAAUUGUAGGAAGUGGAUUGAAUCGGAAAAUUUAUUUGGGCCAGAUUGUGUUUCACUAGAGUCUUGAGAGAUGCAGCUUAGUGAGCUUAUAAUAAAAAGGUAGGCAUUUAAACGGACCAUACUGGUCCGAGUCAAUCUUAGUUUGGCCUAGUGGGCCUUCGGAAUUGCUCCAACAUGAAUUUCAAUGUCAACUUCAAUUUUUAAAAUUAAUAAUUAUACAUUUGUUUUAACUAUUUAUAACAAAUAUUAUCUUUGAAAAGUAAAUUUCAAUUAAUUUUUAUAUUUAAAUAAAAAUUAUUAUUAUUUUAAUUAUUUGUAUCCAAAUCAUACCCGAUAUAUUUGAUUUAUCUUACAAUGUUUCAACAUAAUAGGAAAUUGCAAAUAAAAAUACCCCAUUACAAAUACCUUCCAAAAUUUAUUUAAAAUUCAUAUAUAUUUAUAUAUAUAUAUAUAUAUAUAUAUAUAUAUAUAUAUGAAUUUUAAAUAUCAAUAAAAUUGUUGAUUCAUAAUAAUUUCACUUAGAAUUCAUAAAAAAAUACGAGGAAAAAAAUUAAAAUAAAAAUUUUUAAGAUCCCUACCCUUCCCAUUUAAUUUUAACAAUUUUUUUCUGAGCAUUGAUUUGUUGAUCGAUUAUCAAGGGCCACUCAUUUGCUUUGUUGGAUCUAACUCUCUGUAUGCAUGCUCUGUUUUGGCUUUGUUUGUUUUUUUUUUUUUUUUUUAUCUUUGCUUUCUCUUGUAAAUAUCUGAUGCAUUGUUCCUUCUCUGAACUUGAGAUAUAAAAAUCAUGCUCUUGUUCCUUGUGGAUUCCACCUUCUCCUAGCUCUUUGACAAUCCAUGAAAUAGAGCUAAGUUCAUACUCUAUUUUUAUGUUUUUAUUCUUCUUUGUUUGUUGUUGAUGGUGGGAUGAUAUUAUCAAUGGCUAAGUUGCUGGGAUUUGAGGAGUGAGGUUAUGGGGAAGUGAACUUAAUGGAGGAUUUCUAUGAUCAUAUCUAUGCUCCAAUCUAUUGGUUCAAAAUGUUGGCCAUGAGACUGCAUUGAAGUUUUGGUAUUUGGGAUCACUUUGCCAUCCGGGUUCAGUAAGCAACACAGUGGCAAUAAAGAUGCAUUGGUGUUAUUAAUUUGGGUGAAUAAGUUGGUUGUAUGAAUCGUGAAAGUUCAGGUUGUGCUUUGAGGAGAGUAUAUCUUGCAUCCUAUUAUUUUAAUUAUUAAUUUUGGAUGUUGAAAUAUGAUGUGAUCGCACUUCAUACAUCAUGGUUGUGUGAGGAAAAAGAAAGAUUGAAGAAAUGGUUGUGUGAAAUGGAAAUAAGAAUGAAAAGACCCUGGAGAGGGCAAAAAUGAAAAGAAAAAAAAAAUGAAAUGAUCCCAGAGAGGGCAAAUUAAGAAGGAAGUGAGAUCUUUAAGGUGAAAGUCCCAAAAGUUUACUUCGGGAAGACUCCGAAUGGGGAGUAUAUUUAGGUACAGAUGUGUAUCCUUUGGUGAAAGCUUGAGAACCAUAGUGCAUUGUGUGAUUGCGUGUAAGCAUUUGCAUCAUAAUUGCGUUUGGAAGAAGGAUUUGUAUUAUUUAUCAAGUGUAUGUUUGAAUAUAUUAUUCAAAACUAAAAUGACUUGUUUAUUUUGUAAAUUUAGAAUUGUUGAUAUACUAAACAUAUGAUUGAAUAAGGAAAAUGAUAAUUUUGAUUGUUUUAAAUUUAUAUGGUUAAGGUUUCUUUUAAUGUAUAUAUUGUAAAUGUAAUAUUGUAUUUUGACAUAUGGUUGUGUUAUUGACCUAGAAUUUCUAACCUAUUUGGGUGUAAAACACCCUACUGAGCAACGUGGAAAUGCCCAUCUCUUUAUUUUCUAAAAUUUUAGAUGCAAAUAUAGUUUCAGAGGGACCACAAGAAGUUCAAGAAGCGUUCUAGAAAGUAAAAGAACUAUAAUAAUAGUUGUUUUUAAAUUUAUAUUUCUCUUUUUAUAUGUACCAAUUUGAGUUAUAUGGACUUUUGUAUGUUAAAUUAUAUUUUGUUAAAUUGUAAAAUAUUUUUGGAAAUAUUUUUUUUAACUUAGAGAUUAUUGUAAAUAUUUCAGCUUUUGGGCAGAAAGAUGACUGGUGGAUUUAUUAUACUUGUGAAUAAGAGAUAGUGUGAUGGUUGGUUUUAGAAAAAUAAAAUAUUAUAGUAAAUCUUAACUUAAUAAGAGCAGGAUGAUCAUCAGCCUGCUCUUGAAGCAUCCAGGGAGGGCAUAUUCCAAGAAAGUUACGAAAAAUUGAGAUGAAGAAACUGCAGUGAAGCAAUUUCAUGGAAUUUUUGCUUGGAGACUCACGAAUUACAACCAAUUGCUCAGGGUUGGGAAAAUUGGAAUUGGUGUAAAUUGUGACUGGGUCUUUGUAAAACCCACAUCAUUUAGCUAGAAAAGCUUUGAAAAUACAUUUUAAUUUAAUUUAUAAUUUCUAUGUUAGAAUAUUAGAUCCAAUUCCUAAAAAGCUUAUCAGCCUUGUAUAUAUGGCUAAGCAGGUCAACUUCCCAAGCUCAAGCGCAUUAAGAAAUUCUCAGACCUACCUUUUUUUUAUAGGAUUUUUGGGAAGUUUUACAGCAAUUGAAAACAAAUCCUAAAAGGGUCGGGAAAUUAUUUGAAAAAAUAUGGCAGAUUUGGUCACAUAGGGGACAAAGAUGUGAUAAAGUUGGUACAACGCCCAAAAUUAAACUCUCAAUUAAUUUAAUUAAACAAAUAAUCA